rnacentral:lncRNA from 1 species
GGAAAGGUAACUAGCUAUGGUAUGAAGGGGUCUUAUAGAAGAAAUGUUCUGAUUUCAGAUGGGAAAACUGGGCUGUGAAGCAGAGGCACCUAUGACUGCAUUCUCAAGAAAGAGUGUAGGGAAAAACUGGGUUGUGUGUAGGUCUCUGUCGUCACCACAGGAGGGAAGAGGAAGCUGGGUUACGAAUCUGACACGCUUUCAUUUGUUGUUUUGCUGAUCUUCGACAAAGACAACCUGAUGCAAGUACUAAUAAUCCUGCGUGAUGAUCAUAAUUUCACUGAAACUUCUUUUGACAAUGUGUUUUGGCUCCUUAGCUACGGGUCCCAAUAAUUUAACAGUCAUCCAAACACCAACAAAAAUACAUCUAUCAAUUGGAGACUCCGCUGAAAUUGCCUGUAUUUGGGAAAAAUCAAUUGCAAGGUAUAGAAUAAGCUGGUAUCUUGUUACUAAGGAGAAUAUCACUAAAACAAUAUCAUCAAGCCUUUUCUAUUUACCCAACGUCACCCAUGGCAACAAGGAUGUGCUAGUGAUAAAAGCUGUCAAUGUAAAUGACACUGGAUUUUACUACUGUGAGAUAAUUAUUGAAAUACCUUUCUGUAAAAAACUCUGCGGAAGUGGAACAACACUGAUCGUUGAAGAGAAAGAAGCUCAGUCAUCGGAGAAGAAAGUUUUGGCGGUUUGGGCCAUCAUUCCUUUCUUAGUGGCAGUGGGAAGCUUGUAUUGCUGCUACAAAAAGAAACGGAACUCAAAAUUUUCUGGUUCUGCCCCACUUCCUGUGCCAGAAGGACGGCGUCAGGACGAGCAGACCCUUGAGGCAGCAGAACUUUAUGGGAGAAAUGAAUCCACCAGUGAAGAAGCCGAAUGGGCUGUAUCUACACUUUAUGAAUCACUUGAUUCUUUUUACAAUGAAUCAAAAUAA